UACGAAGGGGGCUAGCGUUGCUCGGAAUCACUGGGCGUAAAGCGCACGUAGGCGGAUCUUUAAGUCAGGGGUGAAAUCCCAAGGCUCAACCUUGGAACUGCCUUUGAUACUGGGGAUCUCGAGUCCGGAAGAGGUUGGUGGAACUCCGAGUGUAGAGGUGAAAUUCAUAGAUAUUCGGAAGAACACCAGGGGCGAAGGCGGCCAACUGGUCCGGCACUGACGCUGAGGUGCGAAAGCGUGGGGAGCAAACAGG
rnacentral:rRNA from 1 species